GAAGCUAUUAUUUUUGAAGGAUCUGUUCACGUUGUUUCUUCCUAGCUUAUUUUUACCAAACAGAGUCUAACACACAUAACCCUCACACACCACUCGCUUCAAUAUUAACUGCACACUUAAAGAGAGAAAGAAGUAAAUUCCCCAAACCCCAAUGUCAAUUAUUCUUCAUAGGAAGAACCCUGGCCACAACCUCCAAAACCAUCGACAAAAAGCGCAAGAAGAAAACGAACAAAAACCCUAAUCUCGAAGGUGAAACCCUAAUUCACGAAGAAGAUAACACGGAAAAACUAGUUGAUGGGGCAGAAUCGAUGCAGCGAAGAAAAUGAAGUAUGAUCAACUUUUUCCGGUUGAAGCUAAGAAAUUUGGGUAUGAACCAAAAACGAAGGUGAAAUCGGUUGAAAAUGUGCUUGAUGAUCGUGUUAAGAAGAAAGCUGAUCGUUACUGUAAAUAGUAAAAAAUGAGUUGUGAAUCUUCAUGGCAUGGCUUCCGGAGCUAGAGCUCAUUAAUAACCAUGAUAGUUGAAAGAAAAUGCCACAAUCUUUAUGCAGAUGAAAGGGUGAUGUCUCUGCUCUUUCAUACUCCAUGGAAGGGAUAAAGCCAAGAAAUGUCAUGUUUUGGAAGAAUAUGAAGGGAUAAGACCGAGUUUUGUUAAGAGGAAAUUAAUUGUAUUCUCAACCAGUAUUUUAAACUUGUUUUAAAUAUUUCAUUUUUGUAAUAACAUAGUCUAAGGAAUUUAUUUUCAUGUGGGGUUCACAAAAAGAACACCGUUGUCUUCUACUUCACCAUGUUAGAUGUAUCAUGUAAUUGACGAUUUAUCUUGGAUUUAAGUCUUGUUGGUGCACGCAGGUUGUGCUUUUCCUAUUGAACAAAAAUUAUUACACCCAAUGAAUGGUGAUUGUACAAGCAUUUAAGAAAAAAGAAAAAACUUUGUUGCAUUUUUUUAGGUGCUUCUUGCAUGCUUCUUAAA